rnacentral:rRNA from 1 species
CCAGACUCCUACGGGAGGCAGCAGUGGGGAAUAUUGGGCAAUGGGGGAAACCCUGACCCAGCGACGCCGCGUGAGGGAAGAAGGUUUUCGGAUUGUAAACCUCUGUCCUUGGUGACGAUAAUGACGGUAGCCAAGGAGGAAGCCACGGCUAACUACGUGCCAGCAGCCGCGGUAAUACGUAGGGGGCAAGCGUUAUCCGGAUUUACUGGGUGUAAAAGGAGCGUAGACGGCUGCGCAAGUCAGAAGUGAAAGCCCGGGGCUCAACCGCGGGACUGCUUUUGAAACUGUGUAGCUAGAGUGCAGGAGAGGUAAGUGGAAUUCCUAGUGUAGCGGUGAAAUGCGUAGAUAUUAGGAGGAACACCGGUGGCGAAGGCGGCUUACUGGACUGUAACUGACGUUGAGGCUCGAAAGCGUGGGGAGCAAACAGGAUUAGAUACCCCAGUAGC